rnacentral:rRNA from 1 species
AUUGAACGCUGGCGGCAUGCCUUACACAUGCAAGUCGAACGGCAGCACGGGUGCUUGCACCUGGUGGCGAGUGGCGAACGGGUGAGUAAUACAUCGGAACGUACCUUAUCGUGGGGGAUAACGCAGCGAAAGCUGUGCUAAUACCGCAUACGCCCUGAGGGGGAAAGCGGGGGAUCGCAAGACCUCGCGCGAUUAGAGCGGCCGAUGCCUGAUUAGCUUGUUGGUGGGGUAAAAGCCCACCAAGGCGACGAUCAGUAGCUGGGCUGAGAGGACGAUCAGCCACACUGGGACUGAGACACGGCCCAGACUCCUACGGGAGGCAGCAGUGGGGAAUUUUGGACAAUGGGCGCAAGCCUGAUCCAGCCAUUCCGCGUGCAGGAUGAAGGCCCUCGGGUUGUAAACUGCUUUUGUACGGAACGAAACGGCCUCUUCUAAUACAGGGGGCUAAUGACGGUACCGUAAGAAUAAGCACCGGCUAACUACGUGCCAGCCGCCGCGGCAA